rnacentral:rRNA from 1 species
GACGAGGGACCUAGCGUUGUUCGGAAUCAUUGGGCGUAAAGCGUGUGUAGGUGGCCAUUCAAGUCAGUUGUGAAAUCCCCGGGCUUAACCCGGGAAGUGCUUCUGAUACUGUUGGCUUGAGUACUGGAGAGGAUAGUAGAAUUCCUGGUGUAGUGGUGAAAUACGUAGAUAUCAGGAGGAAUACCGGUGGCGAAGGCGGCUAUCUGGCCAUGUACUGACGCUGAGACACGAAAGCGUGGGGAGCAAACAGG